UCUGACAUUAGAAAAAAAUAAAAUUUUUAUAAUGAUUUGCAAUUUGUAUUAAGUUUGAUUGAAUAUUUCAAAAUUAUUGUGUUGAAUAUUUAAACUUGUAAAGUUUAUUCCUAAAAAACUGGAUAAACUACAUACAAAACAAUCACAUUCUAGUCAAUAAAAUAUUUUGCUGUAAUAAAAAUGAAACACAGAUCUAAUAAAAGAGACAGCCCUAUAGUAUUCAAAUUCUAUUAUUCAUAUUUUAUACUUUCAUAGAAAGUUUCAGCACAGCUAUAAAAUCUUUGCAUAUAUGUAUCAAUAUUAUAUGUAUUCCAUUUUUUCAAAAAUUCAAGUAAAGAAAUACAAAGCUCAUUUUUAAAGACAAAUUUUUUAUAAAAAAAUAUAUAAUGAUUUCAUUACGAGCGGAAACUCUUAAUUGAAAAGAAUGUGUCUUUCUUAAAUAUAUGUUGAAAUUAUUAUUUUUGAAAAUAUUUCAAAAGGUGUAAAAUCCAAUAUAACAUGGAAGAUUUUUAUGGGUAUUAUUUUUCUCUCACGGACUAAAAUCUUUCAAAAAACUAUAAUCUAUUCUUUAACUUUUCUAUAUAUAAACACAUGAAAAUUAAAAUUAGAGAAAAAAAUUAUCAUUUCAGGUGGUAAAACCCAUUAUGAAGCCGACAGCGGCCAUCAUGGCGGAAGUAUUUUUGACACAGCCGCUAGUUUCAUCAAUGGAAUCAUCUAAAAACAUAAUAUAAAUGAUUUUGGAUUGAACCAGUUAUGUAAAACUAGCCUAAUUUGAAAAUAAAAAUAGUUUUCUCAUUCUC